rnacentral:rRNA from 1 species
AAAUUGAAGAGUUUGAUCAUGGCUCAGAUUGAACGCUGGCGGCAGGCCUAACACAUGCAAGUCGAACGGUAACAGGAAGAAGCUUGCUUCUUUGCUGACGAGUGGCGGACGGGUGAGUAAUGUCUGGGAAACUGCCUGAUGGAGGGGGAUAACUACUGGAAACGGUAGCUAAUACCGCAUAACGUCGCAAGACCAAAGAGGGGGACCUUCGGGCCUCUUGCCAUCGGAUGUGCCCAGAUGGGAUUAGCUUGUUGGUGGGGUAACGGCUCACCAAGGCGACGAUCCCUAGCUGGUCUGAGAGGAUGACCAGCCACACUGGAACUGAGACACGGUCCAGACUCCUACGGGAGGCAGCAGUGGGGAAUAUUGCACAAUGGGCGCAAGCCUGAUGCAGCCAUGCCGCGUGUAUGAAGAAGGCCUUCGGGUUGUAAAGUACUUUCAGCGGGGAGGAAGGGAGUAAAGUUAAUACCUUUGCUCAUUGACGUUACCCGCAGAAGAAGCACCGGCUAACUCCGUGCCAGCAGCCGCGGUAAUACGGAGGGUGCAAGCGUUAAUCGGAAUUACUGGGCGUAAAGCGCACGCAGGCGGUUUGUUAAGUCAGAUGUGAAAUCCCCGGGCUCAACCUGGGAACUGCAUCUGAUACUGGCAAGCUUGAGUCUCGUAGAGGGGGGUAGAAUUCCAGGUGUAGCGGUGAAAUGCGUAGAGAUCUGGAGGAAUACCGGUGGCGAAGGCGGCCCCCUGGACGAAGACUGACGCUCAGGUGCGAAAGCGUGGGGAGCAAACAGGAUUAGAUACCCUGGUAGUCCACGCCGUAAACGAUGUCGACUUGGAGGUUGUGCCCUUGAGGCGUGGCUUCCGGAGCUAACGCGUUAAGUCGACCGCCUGGGGAGUACGGCCGCAAGGUUAAAACUCAAAUGAAUUGACGGGGGCCCGCACAAGCGGUGGAGCAUGUGGUUUAAUUCGAUGCAACGCGAAGAACCUUACCUGGUCUUGACAUCCACGGAAGUUUUCAGAGAUGAGAAUGUGCCUUCGGGAACCGUGAGACAGGUGCUGCAUGGCUGUCGUCAGCUCGUGUUGUGAAAUGUUGGGUUAAGUCCCGCAACGAGCGCAACCCUUAUCCUUUGUUGCCAGCGGUCCGGCCGGGAACUCAAAGGAGACUGCCAGUGAUAAACUGGAGGAAGGUGGGGAUGACGUCAAGUCAUCAUGGCCCUUACGACCAGGGCUACACACGUGCUACAAUGGCGCAUACAAAGAGAAGCGACCUCGCGAGAGCAAGCGGACCUCAUAAAGUGCGUCGUAGUCCGGAUUGGAGUCUGCAACUCGACUCCAUGAAGUCGGAAUCGCUAGUAAUCGUGGAUCAGAAUGCCACGGUGAAUACGUUCCCGGGCCUUGUACACACCGCCCGUCACACCAUGGGAGUGGGUUGCAAAAGAAGUAGGUAGCUUAACCUUCGGGAGGGCGUUUACCACUUUGUGAUUCAUGACUGGGGUGAAGUCGUAACAAGGUAACCGUAGGGGAACCUGCGGUUGGAUCACCUCCUUA